UAGCUGAUGAAGCCAGCCCUGUUCCUCUCCCCAUAAGGCCUGGUGAGCACCAGCUGCAGAUAGCAGCUCCUUGGUAGUGUCUGCACAGCCUGGUGCUUGUAUGGUGGCCCUAAGGGACUUCAGUAACAGCC
rfam:Erinaceus europaeus unplaced genomic scaffold scaffold00108, whole genome shotgun sequence